rnacentral:rRNA from 1 species
UACGUAGGGUGCGAGCGUUAAUCGGAAUUACUGGGCGUAAAGCGUGCGUAGGCGGUUCGUUAAGUUCGUUGUGAAAGCCCCGGGCUCAACCUGGGAAUGGCAAUGGAAACUGGCGGGCUGGAGUAUGGCAGAGGGGGGUGGAAUUCCGCGUGUAGCAGUGAAAUGCGUAGAGAUGCGGAGGAACACCGAUGGCGAAGGCAGCCCCCUGGGGCCAAUACUGACGCUCAGGCACGAAAGCGUGGGGGAGCAAA